ensembl:snRNA U6 U6 spliceosomal RNA
GUGCUUGCUUCAGCAGCAUAUCUACUAAAAUUGGAACAAUACAGAGAAAAGUUGCAUGGUCCUUGCACAAGGAUGGCACACAAAUUCAUAAAGCAUUCCAUAUUUUG